rnacentral:rRNA from 1 species
CCACCCUGAUGUGCUUGACGUUCUAACCUGGGCCCGUUAUCCGGGCCGGGGACCAUGUAUGGUGGGUAGUUUGACUGGGGCGGUCUCCUCCCAAAGAGUAACGGAGGAGCACGAAGGUACGCUCAGCGCGGUCGGACAUCGCGCACUGUGUGCAAAGGCAUAAGCGUGCUUGACUGCAAGAUCGACGGAUCAAGCAGGUACGAAAGUAGGUCUUAGUGAUCCGGUGGUUCUGUAUGGAAGGGCCAUCGCUCAACGGAUAAAAGGUACUCCGGGGAUAACAGGCUGAUACCGCCCAAGAGUUCAUAUCGACGGCGGUGUUUGGCACCUCGAUGUCGGCUCAUCACAUCCUGGGGCUGUAGUCGGUCCCAAGGGUAUGGCUGUUCGCCAUUUAAAGUGGUACGCGAGCUGGGUUCAGAACGUCGUGAGACAGUUCGGUCCCUAUCUGUCGUGGGCGUUGGAGAUUUGAGAGGGGCUGCUCCUAGUACGAGAGGACCGGAGUGGACGACCCCCUGGUGUUCCGGUUGUCAUGCCAAUGGCAUUGCCGGGUAGCUAUGGUCGGAAACGAUAACCGCUGAAAGCAUCUAAGCGGGAAGCGCGCCUCAAGAUGAGAUCUCCCGGGACACAAGUCCCCUAAAGGAACGAUGAAGACCACGUCGUUGAUAGGUCAGGUGUGUAAGCGCAGCAAUGCGUUGAGCUAACUGAUACUAAUGAUCCGUGCGGCUUGAUCAUAUAACCUCA